rnacentral:rRNA from 1 species
UGGGGAAUUUUGGACAAUGGGCGCAAGCCUGAUCCAGCCAUGCCGCGUGCAGGAUGAAGGCCUUCGGGUUGUAAACUGCUUUUGUACAGAACGAAAAGACUCCUUCUAAUAAAGGGGGUCCAUGACGGUACCGUAAGAAUAAGCACCGGCUAACUACGUGCCAGCAGCCGCGGUAAUACGUAGGGUGCGAGCGUUAAUCGGAAUUACUGGGCGUAAAGCGUGCGCAGGCGGUUAUAUAAGACAGAUGCGAAAUCCCCGGGCUCAACCUGGGAACUGCAUUUGUGACUGUAUAGCUAGAGUACGGCAGAGGGGGAUGGAAUUCCGCGUGUAGCAGUGAAAUGCGUAGAUAUGCGGAGGAACACCGAUGGCGAAGGCAAUCCCCUGGGCCUGUACUGACGCUCAUGCACGAAAGCGUGGGGAGCAAACA